rnacentral:rRNA from 1 species
UACGGAGGGUGCAAGCGUUAUCCGGAUUCACUGGGUUUAAAGGGUGCGUAGGCGGACAGGUAAGUCAGUGGUGAAAUCUCUGGGCUUAACUCAGAACUGCCGUUGAUACUAUUUGUCUUGAAUAUUCUGGAGGUAAGCGGAAUAUGUCAUGUAGCGGAUGAAAUGCUUAGAUAUGACAUAGAACACCGAUAGCGAAGGCAGCUUGCUACAGAAUGAUUGACGCUGAGGCACGAAAGCGUGGGGAGCAAACAGG